rnacentral:rRNA from 1 species
GGCGAGAGACCGAUAGCGAACAAGUACCGUGAGGGAAAGAUGAAAAGAACUUUGGAAAGAGAGUUAAACAGUACGUGAAAUUGUUGAAAGGGAAACGCUUGAAGUCAGUCCCUUGGUCCGGGGUUAACCUUGCUUUUUUGCUUGGUGUACUUCCUGGUUUAAUGGGUCAGCAUCAAUUUUGACCAGUGGAAAAAGAUUAAGGGAAUGUGGCAUCUUCGGAUGUGUUAUAGCCUUUGGUCGCAUACAUUGGUUGGGAUUGAGGAACUCAGCACGCCGCAAGGCCGGGUUUUUAACCACGUUCGUGCUUAGGAUGCUGGCAUAAUGGCUUUAAUCGACCCGUCUUGAAACACGGACCAAGGAGUCUAACAUGCCUGCGAGUGUUUGGGUGGAAAACCCAAGCGCGUAAUGAAAGUGAAAGUUGGGAUCCCUGUCGUGGGGAGCACCGAUGCCCGGACCAGACCUUCUGUGACGGAUCCGCGGUUGAGCAUGUAUGUUGGGACCCGAAAGAUGGUGAACUAUGCCUGAAUAGGGUGAAGCCAGAGGAAACUCUGGUGGAGGCUCGUAGCGAUUCUGACGUGCAAAUCGAUCGUCGAAUUUGGGUAUAGGGCGAAAGACUAA